rnacentral:misc_RNA from 1 species
GAUCUUCGGGAUGAUAAACAAUUUUUCGUGGAUCAUCCUGGUGCUGUGCCGAUUACUACUGCUCAGGGUGAGGAGCUAAGGAAAACAAUUGGUGCACCAUCUUACGUUGAAUGUAGUUCAAAAACACAACAGAAUGUGAAAGGAGUCUUUGAUGCUGCCAUUAAGGUCGUCCUCCAGCCUCCCAAGACAAAGAAAAAGAAGGGUAAAUCUCAAAAGGCCUGCUCGAUAUUGUGAUCAACUAUAAGUCCAACAAUAUGGCUCAUCACAGUUCUCGUUGUAACAUCCCCCUUAUAUCCCUUUUUCUCGGAGGAAGUAGAAGGUUCUCAUCUGUCUUAUUCGGAACUACUAACGAUCCCUCAAAAAGUGUUUCAGGUGGCUUGGUUUUUCUGUAUAAUUGCUGUUCACCAUGUAAGGCCACUCUAGUGUUUCCUUUGUUUUGAUUUGAUUUAUGUAUUAACAACUGAAUGAUCCUCAGUUAGGAA